GACAGAGGGUGCAAACGUUGCUCGGAAUUACUGGGCGUAAAGCGCGUGUAGGCGGACUGGUGUGUCGGAUGUGAAAUCCCCAGGCUCAACCUGGGAACUGCACCCGAAACUACCAGCCUUGAGUGGUGGAGAGGGUAGUGGAAUUCCUGGUGUAGAGGUGAAAUUCGUAGAUAUCAGGAGGAACACCAGUGGCGAAGGCGGCUACCUGGACACCAACUGACGCUGAGACGCGAAAGCGUGGGGAGCAAACAGGAUUAGAUACCCUGGUAGUCCACGCCGUAAACGAUGGGCACUAGGUGUCGCGGGUUUUGACCCCUGCGGUGCCGUAGCCAACGCGUUAAGUGCCCCGCCUGGGGAGUACGGCCGCAAGGCUAAA
rnacentral:rRNA from 1 species